UACGUAGGUGACAAGCGUUGUCCGGAUUUACUGGGCGUAAAGAGCGCGCAGGCGGUCGUUCAAGUCGAGUGUGAAAGCCCCCGGCUCAACUGGGGAGGGUCAUUCGAUACUGAUCGACUCGAAGGCAGGAGAGGGAAGUGGAAUUCCCGGUGUAGUGGUGAAAUGCGUAGAUAUCGGGAGGAACACCAGUGGCGAAGGCGGGUCUCUGGGCCGUAACUGACGCUGAGGAGCGAAAGCAUGGGGAGCGAACAGGG
rnacentral:rRNA from 1 species